rnacentral:rRNA from 1 species
GAUGAACGCUGGCGGCGUGCUUAACACAUGCAAGUCGAACGGGAAACCUUUUAUUGAAGCUUCGGCAGAUUUAGCUGGUUUCUAGUGGCGGCCGGGUGAGUAACGCGUGGGUAACCUGCCCUAUACAGGGGGAUAACAACCAGAAAUGGUUGCUAAUACCGCAUAAGCGCACAGGGCCGCAUGGUCCGGUGUGAAAAACUCCGGUGGUAUAGGAUGGACUCGCGUUGGAUUAGCCAGUUGGCAGGGUAACGGCCUACCAAAGCGACGAUCCAUAGCCGGCCUGAGAGGGUGAACGGCCACAUUGGGACUGAGACACGGCCCAGACUCCUACGGGAGGCAGCAGUGGGGAAUAGUGCACAAUGGGGGAAACCCUGAUGCAGCGACGCCGCGUGAAGGAAGAAGUAUCUCGGUAUGUAAACUUCUAUCAGCAGGGAAGAUAGUGACGGUACCUGACUAAGAAGCCCCGGCUAACUACGUG